AACGUAGGACGCAAGCGUUAUCCGGAAUUACUGGGCGUAAAGCGCGUGCAGGCGGGUCUGCAAGUCAUUUGUGAAAGCUCCUGGCUAAACUGGGAGAGGUCGGAUGAGACUGCAGGUCUGGAGUAUGUCAGAGGCGUGUGGAAUUCCGCGUGUAGUGGUGAAAUGCGUAGAGAUGCGGAGGAACACCAGUGGCGAAGGCGGCACGCUGGGGCAUAACUGACGCUGAGGCGCGAAAGCAUGGGGAGCGAACGGG
rnacentral:rRNA from 1 species